rnacentral:rRNA from 1 species
GAUGAACGCUGGCGGCGUGCCUAAUACAUGCAAGUCGAGCGAAUGGAUUAAGAGCUUGCUCUUAUGAAGUUAGCGGCGGACGGGUGAGUAACACGUGGGUAACCUGCCCCUAACUUUGGGAUAACUACUCGAAAGAGUAGCUAAUACCGGAUAUGAAGUCUGUAGGCAUCUACGGACUUGGAAAGUUUUUCGGUUAGGGAUGGGCCCGCGGCCUAUCAGCUUGUUGGUGAGGUAGUGGCUCACCAAGGCGACGACGGGUAGCCGGCCUGAGAGGGCGACCGGCCACACUGGGACUGAGACACGGCCCAGACUCCUACGGGAGGCAGCAGUGGGGAAUAUUGCGCAAUGGGCGAAAGCCUGAUGCAGCAACGCCGCGUGAGGGAUGACGGCCUUCGGGUUGUAAACCUCUUUUAGUAGGGAAGAAGCGAAAGUGACGGUACCUGCAGAAAAAGCACCGGCUAACUACGUGCCAGCAGCCGCGGUAA